rnacentral:lncRNA from 1 species
CGGGAUUGGAAAAAUAACCGUAGUUUCAAAUCAACAUUUUUGAGGAGACAAUCACGACUUCAGGCAUGUCUCGAAUAAUUACGAUACUUUUCCUGAUUCUUCUCGUUAAUGCGUUCAGUUAUGUAUUGUCAGAACUUCCCGAUGGAGGUGGGGGACUUCUUGCAAGAAGAAAUCCACUUAAGGAGAGACUGUUUAAGCGGAGGAUCGUACGCCAAUUAAGGCUUGACGGUCUAAAGAAACCUGAUGGUAGAGGGGGACCAUUACCUCCAAAAGAACCCGGAGCUGCAACCCUUACCGCAGAGGCUGCAAUGCCAUAACUUGGUGCAGAGGCUGAGAUUCCUUCCCAUGUGUUACGCCUUGAUCAUUCUUGAGCGGCUAUAACGUAAAACUCCUACAAAAUUACGUUUGAGAUUGAUCAAAAAUUUUACUUCACAUUGGACCGGGUUGUUCAUGUUCGGUACAGGCUCGGAAAAUUAAAUGCUAAUUUGUCGGGUAGAAUCGGAAAGUCUUAAAUGCUUGUUACUAAUACAAGAUCCAUCUUUCAUUACCACUAAAAAAGUUUUAACCUUUUCAAAUGUAGUUUACUCUUUUGAGCGUUCACCACGUUAGUAGUGUACGCUCUUUCCCGUUGUUUUGCAUCGGGUAUGUACUAAUGUAUCCAUUGGUAAAGGCCCGCACUGCUCCAUGGGAAUCGGCGCCAUUUUUCGUGGCGGGAAGCAAUACCUAGUUUCUCAUUUUUUUUUUUUAUGUAUCAUUCCUACCUUUUUUCUCCUUUUUUUGCCACUUAUGUAAUUCCUGUAGGCUUGUCUUUGAGAAAUAAAUAUCUUUACGUUUUAAAACUC